AACAGAAUGCCUUCUCACAUCUCUAAAGAAAAGUCACUGGGGAAAUUCGUGGGGAGAGACGCAACGGCGUGUUUUCAGUCGCGGCAGUGCCGUCCACGCCCGAGCCGCGAGAGGGCGCCGCGCGCGCCUACGUACUUGUCAGGACUUGUUGCUCACCUGACAUGCAGCCCGAUAUAACCUGAUUAGUGAAUUAUGUACCACCCAAAUCUGUCAUGAAUUUUAUAACCAAACCACUCUACAACCAUGCGAAACUGCUCAUGCUUUUAAGUUUCGCGCUCAUCAUCCUUCUUGCCGGCAUCAUUCUCAAGAAUAAAACUAAACAAUUACAAACAGUAAACCCUGAUUACCUCGAGGACGGUUUGCCGACAAAUGCAACAGAGCCCGGGAAAACGAGGAGAAAAGAAUACCUGUACCGUCUUUUGACAAAUACGACCCGUUCGCUCAUACAAAUGGAAAUAAAAGCUAGGAGACUGGAGGAAAAUAUGCGUAGGAUUAAGGAAAAGACUGCAGAUUUAUUGUGGAAGAACAAGGAUAAAGCGCUGUGGCAUAUUCUGUUUAAAAAUAUAAGCAGACAUAUUUCCAUUCGACACGAGUUCCAUCAGCAUUCUAGUUUGCGAAGAAUAAUGCAGGACGCUCACACUGGCCUACACAAGGGCAAAAGAAAAGUUUUUCUAAGUUAAAAUGCCUGUGUAAUCGUGUUUAAUAUAAAUUAUCGUUAAAAUAUUUGUAUAAAGUGCUAGAUUGAAAUUCCAAACAGACAAUAACCGUAUUUCAUUCGAACCAGUUUCUACGUGUACCAACUAGAGAACCGGGCUCGAUGUUCGCCUCCCAGAGCACGUACGAGUAUAAAGGAACUGAACAAGGACACGUGCGACUUGACCCCGAUUUUUCUGGACUCAUUUGGAAUGGCUCCGAAUUGAGAUUAGGUACCUAACGAGAAAUGUAUACGGAUUUCAACGAUGAAACAAAACACU